AACUUCCUUUUCCAAACAUUCUAACGUCGGCCACACUAGAAAAUAGGCAGUGACGUUAUUUCAAUUUUCUUUCUUCCUGAGCAGAAAAUGAAAAAGAAGUGAGCAGCAACGUACUGCUCCACAAACAUUAGGCUCAGUACUUAAAAUAUUAAGCAAGCAGCAAAUUUAUAUAAUUUUGUGACGGGUUUCGCUCACCGCUUCGAUUUCGUCGUUUGUUUUGUCGUGUUGUUGAGUUCGGACUUUCUUUGAAGUGAAGUAAGGUGGAAGAAGAAUAUUUCUUGGCACAUAAGAGUUAUUUCAGGUGAUGUUCGGAGUCUCACGACCGUUUCGAGGCAUUCGUCAAAGGCGUUUGGGUGAGCUAUUUGAGAUAUUGCAACCCAGAGUCUCUCCUUAGAUUUCUGUUGUUCUCUAUCCUUAAACAGAAGUCGUAUCCAGUUUGAGUCUGUUAUCUACUUCAAAUUGUAAACUUCUUAGAAGCUCUUGUAUGAGUCUAGACCAGGUUUUGGGAAUUUCUUAUAAUAAAAGUAUUUAUUCCG